rnacentral:rRNA from 1 species
GACGAACGCUGGCGGCGUGCUUAACACAUGCAAGUCGAACGAAGCGGCGAACGGGUGAGUACUACGUGGGUAACCUGCCCUCCUUUUUGGGAUAAGCCUUGGCAACGGGGACUACUACCGAAUAAAGGGGGAUGGGCUAGCGGCCUGUCAGCUGGUUGGUGGGGUGAGGGACUACCAAGGCGGUGGCGGGUAGCCGGCCUGAGAGGGUGACCGGCCACAUUGGGAGUGAGAUACGGCCCAGACGGCUACGGGGGGCAGCAGUGGGGGAUAUGGCACAAUGGGCGAAAGCCUGAGGCAGCGACGCCGCGUGGGGGAUGAAGGCUUUAGGGUUGUAAACCUCUUUGGCUAUCGAUCGGGUAGGUGGAGAAGAAGCGCCGGCUAACUACGUGCCAGCAGCCGCGGUAAUAC